AUUGAACGCUGGCGGCAGGCCUAACACAUGCAAGUCGAGCGGGGCGGCCGACGGGUGAGUAAUGCCUAUGAAUCUGCCUGGUCGUGGGGGAUGACGUACGGAAACGGGCGCUAAUACCGCAUACUCUCAGAUGAGCCUACGUGGGAUUAGCUAGCUGGUGGGGUAAAGGCCGACCAAGGCGACGAUCCGUAACUGGUCUGAGAGGAUGAUCAGUCACACUGGAACUGAGACACGGUCCAGACUCCUACGGGAGGCAGCAGUGGGGAAUAUUGGACAAUGGGCGAAAGCCUGAUGCAGCCAUGCCGCGUGUGUGAAGAAGGUCGUCGGAUUGUAAAGCACUUUAAGUUGGGAGGCGUUACCGACAGAAGAAGCACCGGCUAACUUCGUGCCAGCAGCCGCGGUAAUAC
rnacentral:rRNA from 1 species